UACGUAGGGACCAAGCGUUGUUCGGAUUUACUGGGCGUAAAGGGCGCGUAGGCGGCAAUUCAAGUCACUUGUGAAAUCUCCGAGCUUAACUCGGAACGGUCAAGUGAUACUGCUUUGCUAGAGUGCAGAAGGGGCAACCGGAAUUCUUGGUGUAGCGGUGAAAUGCGUAGAUAUCAAGAGGAACUCCGGUGGCGAAGGCGGCACGCUGGACCUCUUCUGACGCUGAGGCGCGAAAGCCAGGGGAGCAAACGGG
rnacentral:rRNA from 1 species